rnacentral:rRNA from 1 species
AGCGGCAGGCCCUUAUACAUGCAAAGUUCGGACGGUAACAUUGGUGCUUGCACCAGAUGACGAGUGGCGCACGGGUGCGUAACGCGUAUGCAACCUACCUUUUACUGGAGUAUAGCCCAGAGAAAUUUGGAUUAAUCCUCUAUAAUAUCUAUUAAUCUCAUGAUUUUUAGAUUAAAGUUUUAACGGUAAAAGAUGGGCAUGCGUCUUAUUAGUUUGUAGGUGAGGUAAUGGCUCACCUAGACUACGAUAGGUAGAGGCCCUGAGAGAGGGAUCCCCCACACUGGUACUGAGACACGGACCAGACUCCUACGGGAGGCAGCAGUAAGGAAUAUUGGACAAUGGACGAAAGUCUGAUCCAGCCAUGCCGCGUGCAGGAUGACGGCCCUAUGGGUUGUAAACUGCUUUUAUACAGGAAGAAACACUCCGACGUGUCGGAGCUUGACGGUACUGUAAGAAUAAGGAUCGGCUAACUCCGUGCCAGCAGCCGCGGUAAUUCA